UAGGGUUUAGUUCCUCUGAUCUCAUUGUAGAUCGACUCUAUAAUCCUCAUAUACACAAGCAAUAUAAUCAAGCAGGACGUAGGGUUUUACCCCUUAGAGAGGGCCUGAACCUGGGUAAAUAUCAUUUCCUGCGUCUGUUGUUCCCCGUUAGGGAUGGCAAUUUUAUCCAUGGAUCUUGAUAUCCACGCAUACCUGACCCGGUUGGGCAAGGAUAUGGAGCGUAGUUCUGCCCAUGGAUCCAUGGAUUUUGAUACCCGCGAACAGCCGGGUUGGGCAUGGACAUAAUUUAUGAUCCAUGGAUAUCCAAUCGAUAACCGUAUGAUAGGUGGGGCCAUAUGUCAGUCACACUGGACUAAGCAGAAGUCCAACACCCCAAGUAGUAGCAGUCACACAAGGUCAAAGCCUAUCGCCCCAGCCCAUGUUUCGUGAUCCCCCACAACCCCACUAACCUAAUUAUAUUAAACCUAAUCUAGUCAACCCCCAAUCAUCCCAAGUCUCCAGCAGUCCAGCUCCCUCCAUAGCGCAGCAGCACUCUGCGUCUGACAAAUCUCAAUCGUCGCCCCCGCCUCUCCCUGGACAUCCACCUCAUACCGGCGAUAGGCGCCCAACCCCGGCACCCGGGUUCGACGACCGGCCCCGGGACUGGCCUCGGUGACCAACACCGGCGACAGGCCUUGGCGACGAGCAUUGGCGACAGGCAUGUGGGCACAUACCCAAGGAGUCAACCUCCAAUGGAAGGGGGCAAGGGCAACAGUGGGGGCAACAAUGGGAAGGGCAGGCCCGGGACAGUUAUCAUCCCACGGAGGAGUUUGCCUGGCGAGCAACAGGGUGUCAUCAGUGGAAACACUCCCAAAAACAGUGUUGCCCCUACAGAUGUCUCAGGUGUGGCUGGAGCUUCCAUGGUCUCAAGUUCAACUCUACAAGAGGGUACCAGUACAACAGUGGAGCAACCAAAACUAACCGGUUCUAGAAGGAAGCGUACAUCAGAUGUAUGGGAAAAUUUUAAGACAGAACUAAUCAAUGGGAAAUGGCAGGCAAUAUGCAACUGGUGUCAUAAGCCAUAUGCUGGAGAAUCAACCUCUGGUACGUCACACUUAAGGACUCAUCGUAAUAAUUGUUUGGCUCGGCAUGUAGUGGGUCCACAACAAAACAAAUUAAAGUUGUCAAAAUUUGGAGACCUAUGUUUUUGAUCAAGAACUUGCUAGAAAGGAACUUGCAUUGAUGAUAUGUGUGCAUGAGUACCCUUUGUCUAUUGUUGAUCAUGCUGGCUUCCGAAAAUUUUGUGGUACUUUGCCACCAAUGUUCAAGGUGGUGUCUAGAAAUACCAUUUGGCAGGACAUUAUAAAUACAUUUGGUGUCCAAAAGAAUAGCAUGGUGAAGUACUUUGCAAUGUUUGAGAACCGAGUUGCCAUCACAACAGAUUUGUGGUCGGCUGGCCAUCAAAAGAGGGGCUAUAUGGCUGUAACUACACAUUAUAUUGAUGCUUCUUGGAAACUAAAGAGCUAGCUAAUGAGGUUUAUUUAUGUUCCAUGUCCACACAAUGCUGAAGUUAUAUGUGAAGAACUACAUGCAUGUCUUGUUAAGUGGCACCUUGAGAAGAAGAUAUCCACGGUGGCCUUGGACAAUUGUGCGUCAAAUGACAAGGCUAUCGAAAUUAUGCCAAAUAAGUUGGACACCUCUUCUCUUAUGAUGGACGGAUCUUUGUUGCAUAUGCAUUGUGCUGCUCAUAUAUUAAAUCAGAUUGUAAAAGAUGGAUUGGAUGUCAUGGAGAAAGGAACUAAGAGGGUACAAGAUAGUGUUGCCUUUUUGUCAGCCACACCUAAAAGACAUGAGAAGUUUGAAAAGAUGGCACGCCUUUUCAACAAUGAAUACAAGUGUAGAUUGGCUCUUGAUUGUAAAACUAGGUGGAAUUCUACCUACAUAAUGUUAAAAGGUGCAUUGCAAUACAAAGAUGUUCUUGAAAGACUUUAUAUACGUGAAAAGAAUUUUACUUGUCCAACCGAAGAAGAUUGGGUCUUUGCUAUGGAGGUUUGUGAUAGGCUGAAAGUGUUCUUUGAUGUCAAAGAGUUGUUGUCGGGCACUCCAUAUGUUACAGCUAGUCUUUUCUUUCCGCAAAUAUGUGGCAUUCGGUUGGCAAUUCGUAAAUGGGAAACUAGUAAACAUAGUGUCAUAAAAGCUAUGUCUAAGGAAAUGAAAGACAAGUUCGAGAAGUAUUGGACAGAUGUCCAUCGUCUUAUGGCUAUUGCCACCAUUGUUGAUCCACAUUGUAAGAUGCAUAUGUUGAAGGCUUCAUUUGGGUCAUCGUAUGGAACUGAACAUAUGCGUCCAUAGAAGUUCAUAAAACAAAGAAGUUAAUGCUAGAUUUGCUGGCUGAAUAUCGAGAUGUAUCUCAGUGUGUUGAAACAUCUAUUGUUGGAAACACCCCAACUGUUCCUAAUGGUGGUGUGGAUGAAAUUUUGGGCGUGUUUGAGCAAUACUUGUCUUCACAACCUGUCGCUCCUUCUCCAGUUCGCACUGAAUUGGACAUGUACUUGGAUGAGCCCCUUAUUCAUAGAACAACAGAUUUUGACAUUAUUAAUUGGUGGAAAGUUGGAGGUGCCAAGUACCCUACUUUGCAGAAGAUUGCUCAUGAUAUAUUACCCAUCCCUAUUACAUCUAUGGCAUCAGAGUCAGUCUUUAAUACUAGUGGGAGGUUACUUAGUGUACAUCGCAAUCGGCUUACACCAAGCAUGGUUGAAGCUCUUAUGUGUAUGCAAGCUUGGUCACGAGCGGACAUGUUAGGUGGUAUCAACUUCGCUCUACAAGCAGUUCAAAAUGUUCUUGAUGAUGAAGAAGAAGUGAUGGAUGAAAAUGAGUCCAUCAUUACUGAAGACUAAUUUCGAGCCAAGUGUGCUCAUUUGGACAUGUGGCCCAAUUACUAGUGCACGUACUGUUGGAAGUGCAUUUGAAUUUUGAAAUAAGUUACGUACUUUAUUUAUGCAACUUCGGUUGUGAUGUAAUAAGAUCUUACAACUUUGGUUGUGAUGUAAUAAGAUUUAAGACAAGAAUUCUACUAUGAGACUAUUUGAGUUGUCAACUUGUCAUUGUGUGGUCUAAUGUUUUUAACGAAAUAAGAUAAGAUUGAAGACAAGUUUUUUACUACC